CUUGAAACACGGACCAAGGAGUCUAACAUGUGCGCGAGUCGCUCGGACUUGUUUAGGCCAGAGAGGCGCAAUGAAAGUAAAUUUGAUAUGUUACGAUCCUCAUGUCUGUCAUCACUUGUUGGUGACGGUGGGGCGCAGUAACGGCCCGCCAGUUCUGCUUAUUGACAGUUUGGCGGAGUCAUAGCGUACACGUUGGUACCCGAAAGAUGGUGAGCUUUGCCUGGGCAAGACGAAGCCAGAGGAAACUCUGGUGGAGGUCUGUAGCGAUUCUGACGUGCAAAUCGAUCGUCAGACCUGGGUAAAGGGGCGAAAGACUAAUCGAACCAUCUAGUAGCUGGUUCCCUCUGAAGUUUCCCUCAGGAUAAGCUA
rnacentral:rRNA from 1 species